AUGUCUGGGAAACUGCCUGAUGGAGGGGGAUAACUACUGGAAACGGUAGCUAAUACCGCAUAACGUCGCAAGACCAAAGAGGGGGACCUUCGGGCCUCUUGCCAUCAGAUGUGCCCAGAUGGGAUUAGCUAGUAGGUGGGGUAACGGCUCACCUAGGCGACGAUCCCUAGCUGGUCUGAGAGGAUGACCAGCCACACUGGAACUGAGACACGGUCCAGACUCCUACGGGAGGCAGCAGUGGGGAAUAUUGCACAAUGGGCGCAAGCCUGAUGCAGCCAUGCCGCGUGUAUGAAGAAGGCCUUCGGGUUGUAAAGUA
rnacentral:rRNA from 1 species